rnacentral:rRNA from 1 species
GACGAACGCUGGCGGCGUGCUUAACACAUGCAAGUCGAACGGAAAGGCCCUGCUUUUGUGGGGUGCUCGAGUGGCGAACGGGUGAGUAACACGUGAGUAACCUGCCCUUGUCUUUGGGGUAACUUCAGGAAACUGGGGCUAAUACCGCAUAGGAGCUCCUGCUGCAUGGUGGGGGUUGGAAAGUUUCGGCGGUUGGGGAUGGACUCGCGGCUUAUCAGCUUGUUGGUGGGGUAGUGGCUUACCAAGGGUUUGACGGGUAGCCUGCCUGAGAGGGUGAACGGGGACCUGGGGCCUGAGAUACGGAGCAGAAUGCUAUGGGACGCAGUAGGGGGGAACAUUGCGGAAUGGGCGGAAGCGAGAGGCGGAAGUGCCGCGUGCGGGAUGAUGGCCUUCGGGUGAAAAACAGCUUUCGACGGAGACGAAGCGUGAGUGACGGUAAUGGGUAAAAAAGCACCGGCUAACUACGUG